rnacentral:rRNA from 1 species
GACGAACGCUGGCGGCGUGCCUAAUACAUGCAAGUUGAGCGCUGAAGGUUGGUACUUGUACCAACUGGAUGAGCAGCGAACGGGUGAGUAACGCGUGGGGAAUCUGCCUUUGAGCGGGGGACAACAUUUGGAAACGAAUGCUAAUACCGCAUAAAAACUUUAAACACAAGUUUUAAGUUUGAAAGAUGCAAUUGCAUCACUCAAAGAUGAUCCCGCGUUGUAUUAGCUAGUUGGUGAGGUAAAGGCACACCAAGGCGAUGAUACAUAGCCGACCUGAGAGGGUGAUCGGCCACAUUGGGACUGAGACACGGCCCAAACUCCUACGGGAGGCAGCAGUAGGGGAUCUUCGGCAAUGGACGAAAGUCUGAGCGAGCAACGCCGCGUGAGUGAAGAAGGUUUUCGGAUCGUAAAACUCUGUUGGUAGAGAAGAACGUUGGUGAGAGUGGAAAGCUCAUCAAGUGACGGUAACUACCCAGAAAGGGACGGCUAACUACGUG